AACGAACGCUGGCGGCAGGCUUAACACAUGCAAGUCGAACGCUCGUAGCAAUACGGGAGUGGCGGACGGGUGAGUAACGCGUGGGAACGUGCCCUGAGGUACGGAAUAACUGAGGGAAACUUCAGCUAAUACCGUAUGAGCCCCGAGAGGGGGAAAGAUUUAUCGCCUUGGGAGCGGCCCGCGUCGGAUUAGCUAGUUGGUGGGGUAACGGGCCUACCAAGGCUUCGAUCCGUAGCUGGUCUGAGAGGACGAUCAGCCACACUGGGACUGAGACACGGCCCAGACUCCUACGGGAGGCAGCAGUGGGGAAUCUUGCGCAAUGGGGGCAACCCUGACGCAGCCAUGCCGCGUGAACGAUGAAGGCCUUAGGGUUGUAAAGUUCUUUUACCCGUGACGAUGAUGACGGUAACGGGGGAAUAAGCUCCGGCUAACUUCGUG
rnacentral:rRNA from 1 species